rnacentral:rRNA from 1 species
GACGAACGCUGGCGGCGUGCCUAACACAUGCAAGUCGAGCGAAGUGAGUACUACGGUACGAACUUAGCGGCGGACGGGUGAGUAACGCGUGGACAAUCGACCUUGUAGACUGGGAUAACACCUCGAAAGGGGUGCUAAUACCGGAUAAUGUCGAGAAGCGGCAUCGCUUUUCGAAGAAAGGAGAGAAUCCGCUAUAGGAGGAGUCCGCGUCCCAUUAGCUAGUUGGUGAGGGUAACGGCCCACCAAGGCGACGAUGGGUAGCCGGCCUGAGAGGGUGAACGGCCACAAUGGAACGGAGACACGGUCCAGACUCCUACGGGAGGCAGCAGUGGGGAAUAUUGGGCAAUGGGGGAAACCCUGACACAGCAACGCCGCGUGAGCGAAGAAGGCCUUCGGGUUGUAAAGCUCAAUAGUAUGGGAAGAUAAUGACGGUACCAUACGAAAGCCCCGGCUAACUACGUGCCAGCCGCCGCCGUAACAC